rnacentral:rRNA from 1 species
GUCGUCAGCUCGUGUCGUGAGAUGUUGGGUUAAGUCCCGCAACGAGCGCAACCCCUCUCCAGUGUUAUAAUUACUCUGGAUACUGCCUUGCCAAAACGAGGAGGAAGGUGGGGACGACGUCUGGUCAUCAUAGUCCUUAUGUCUUGGGCUACACAAGCGCUACAAUGGCCAUUACAGAGGGUUGCCAAGCCGCAAGGUGGAGCUAAUCCCAGAAAAAUGGUCUCAGUUCAGAUUGUCGGCUGAAAUUCGCCGGCAUGAAGUCGGAAUUGCUAGUAAUCGCGAAUCAGCAUGUCGCGGUGAAUACGUUCUCGGGUCUUGUACACACCGCCUGUCAAGUCACGGAAGUUGGUCUUACUGGACGGCUCCUCGUAGGAGGGGACUACAGUAGGGCUGGCGACCAGGGCUAAGUCAUAACAAGGUAGCCGUAGGGGAAUCUGCGGCUGGAUCACCUCCUUUCUAAGG